rnacentral:rRNA from 1 species
UGCAGUCGAGCGGAGUGAUGGUGCUUGCACUAUCACUUAGCGGCGGACGGGUGAGUAAUGCUUAGGAAUCUGCCUAUUAGUGGGGGACAACAUUUCGAAAGGAAUGCUAAUACCGCAUACGUCCUACGGGAGAAAGCAGGGGAUCUUCGGACCUUGCGCUAAUAGAUGAGCCUAAGUCGGAUUAGCUAGUUGGUGGGGUAAAGGCCUACCAAGGCGACGAUCUGUAGCGGGUCUGAGAGGAUGAUCCGCCACACUGGGACUGAGACACGGCCCAGACUCCUACGGGAGGCAGCAGUGGGGAAUAUUGGACAAUGGGCGCAAGCCUGAUCCAGCCAUGCCGCGUGUGUGAAGAAGGCCUUAUGGUUGUAAAGCACUUUAAGCGAGGAGGAGGCUACUGAAGUUAAUACCUUCAGAUAGUGGACGUUACUCGCAGAAUAAGCACCGGCUAACUCUGUGCCAGCAGCCGCGGUAAUACAGAGGGUGCAAGCGUUAAUCGGAUUUACUGGGCGUAAAGCGCGCGUAGGCGGCUAAUUAAGUCAAAUGUGAAAUCCCCGAGCUUAACUUGGGAAUUGCAUUCGAUACUGGUUAGCUAGAGUGUGGGAGAGGAUGGUAGAAUUCCAGGUGUAGCGGUGAAAUGCGUAGAGAUCUGGAGGAAUACCGAUGGCGAAGGCAGCCAUCUGGCCUAACACUGACGCUGAGGUGCGAAAGCAUGGGGAG